rnacentral:rRNA from 1 species
AAAUGUACCGCCUGGGGAGUACGGUCGCAAGAUUAAAACUUCAAGGAAUAGACGGGGACCCGCACAAGCGGUGGAGCAUGUGGUUUAAUUCGACUAUACGCGAAGAACCUUACCUGGCCUUGACAUAGAAAGAAUUUAGCAGAGAUGUAAAAGUGCUAGUUUACUAGAGCUUUCAUACAGGUGCUGCACGGCUGUCGUCAGCUCGUGUCGUGAGAUGUUAGGUUAAGUCCUGCAACGAGCGCAACCCUCGUGUUUAGUUACUAACAGAUUAUGCUGAGGACUCUAGACAUACUGCCUGGGCAACCAGGAGGAAGGUGAGGACGACGUCAAGUCAUCAUGGCCCUUACGGCCAGGGCUACACACGUGCUACAAUGGGGUAUACAAAGAGCAGCGAUACCGCGAGGUGGAGCAAAUCUCAUAAAAUAUCUCCCAGUUCGGAUUACACUCUGCAACUCGAGUGUAUGAAGUUGGAAUCGCUAGUAAUCGUAGAUCAA